rnacentral:rRNA from 1 species
UACGUAGGGUGCGAGCGUUAAUCGGAAUUACUGGGCGUAAAGUGUGCGCAGGUGGCCGCGCAAGUCGGGUGUGAAAGCCCCGGGCUCAACCUGGGAAUUGCAUUCGAGACUGCGUAGCUAGGGUGCGGAAGAGGGAAGCGGAAUUUCCGGUGUAGCGGUGAAAUGCGUAGAUAUCGGAAGGAACACCAGUGGCGAAAGCGGCUUCCUGGUCCAGCACCGACGUCAGGCACGAAAGCGUGGGGAGCAAACAGG